GAGUUUGAUCGUGGCUCAGGACGAACGCUGGCGGCGUGCUUAACACAUGCAAGUCGAACGAGAAUCUACUGAAAGAGUUUUCGGACAAUGGAAGUAGAGGAAAGUGGCGGACGGGUGAGUAACGCGUGAGGAACCUGCCUUGAAGAGGGGACAACAGUUGGAAACGACUGCUAAUACCGCAUGAUGCAUAAGGGUCGCAUGAUUCUUAUGCCAAAGAUUUAUCGCUUCAAGAUGGCCUCGCGUCUGAUUAGCUAGUUGGCGGGGUAACGGCCCACCAAGGCGACGAUCAGUAGCCGGACUGAGAGGUUGAACGGCCACAUUGGGACUGAGAUACGGCCCAGACUCCUACGGGGAGGCAGCAGGUAGGGAAUUAGUUGGGACAAGUGGGCG
rnacentral:rRNA from 1 species